AAUGAACGUUGGCGGCGUGGAUUAGGCAUGCAAGUCGAGCGGUAGGGAGUCUCUCAUCCACUUCACUUAGUCUUCGGUCAAUGACCGGCGGCUAAGUGGACGAGAUGAGAGGCUCCUGAGAGCGGCGAAAGGGAGAGUAACGCGUAGUUACGUGCCCCAGGGUUCGGAAUAGCCACGGGAAACUGUGGGUAAUGCCGAAUAACAUCUCCGGAUCAAAGGUGUGAUUCCGCCCUGGGAGCGGACUGCGUCCUACUAGCUAGUUGGUGGGGUAAUGGCCUACCAAGGCAACAAUGGGUAGCGGGUGUGAGAGCAUGACCCGUCUCACUGGGACUGAGACACUGCCCAGACACCUACGGGUGGCUGCAGUCGAGAAUCUUCGGCAAUGGGCGAAAGCCUGACCGAGCGACGCCGCGUGCGGGAUGAAGGCCCUCGGGUUGUAAACCGCUGUCGUAGGGGAGGAAGGCUCCGUGAAGAACGGGGUUUGACCUAUCCUAGGAGGAAGUACGGGCUAAGUUCGUGCCAGCAGCCGCCGUAACAC
rnacentral:rRNA from 1 species